AAUCUUAAAAUUAUUUUUUAUGUUUUUAUUAUAAUAAAUGCAUUGCCUUUAGAUAGUAAUUCCCAAAAUGGCCUUCAUGUUGAAACUAUUCCACUUGCUACGGAGUUUGUUGAUCCAAAGUCUCCCAGAGCAGCACGUGUGUUACUUAUAGAUAGUGGUUCCCAAAAUGAUGAGUUUGAAGAUAAAAAUAUUCAGCUUGACAGGGAUUUUAUCAAUCCAAAGACUCUCAUAGAAAAUAUCCCUAGAUAUUUUUUUCCUACAACAAAUGUAUGAAAAAAAUAUCAUGCUAAAACAUAUGGUCUAAAGCCUCCAAAACGUUGUCGGGAUGUUGACUAUGGGAAACAACUUGGUGAACCCACCAUCCUGGUGCAAAUUGAAUUUAUUGGAAUUGUUUUUAUAGGGCGAUUAGUGUAGAGCUUACUGGAGCUCAAAAUUCCCAUGUUAUACUCAGGCAAUGAUUGACACAAUUUAUGCUAACAUCCGAGAUGGGAAAGGUAAUUGAAAAUUAUUUUUACGACACGAACAAAAAAAUAGACAUAAAAACUUAUGUCUUAAAUAAUGUAAUGACACAUCACAUAUGGGCUUCUGACACAGAAGUCAGGGCGAUGGCCACAAUGUUAAAUACGGCUAUUUUUACUUAUAUAAAAUAUAAUGAUAAUUUUGUAUGGGCCCGAUAUGACCCAUUUUAUAUUCGCGACAAUAUUAAAAUAUUUAAUAAAAAUUUUAUUUAUAUAAAAAAUGGGGGGGAGUCAUUUUGAAAAUGUUUUAGAUUGCGAUUUAUCUUUCAAUCUAAUCACUAGUUAUUAUUUUUAUUAAAAAAAUUUUUUUAUAUAAAAAUAUAUAAAUAUAUUUCAUUCAUAUUAUAAUUU